rnacentral:rRNA from 1 species
UACGGGGGGGGCAAGCGUUGUUCGGAAUUACUGGGCGUAAAGGGCUCGUAGGCGGCCAACUAAGUCAGACGUGAAAUCCCCAGGCUCAACCUGGGAACUGCGUCUGAUACUGGUUGGCUUGAAUCCGGGAGAGGGAUGCAGAAUUCCAGGUGUAGCGGUGAAAUGCGUAGAUAUCUGGAGGAAUACCGGUGGCGAAGGCGGCAUCCUGGACCGGCAUUGACGCUGAGGAGCGAAAGCUAGGGGAGCAAACGGG